GAUGAACGCUGGCGGCGUGCCUAAUACAUGCAAGUCGAGCGAACAGACGAGGAUCUUGCUCCUCUGACGUUAGCGGCGGACGGGUGAGUAACACGUGGAUAACCUACCUAUAAGACUGGGAUAACUUCGGGAAACCGGAGCUAAUACCGGAUAAUAUAUUGAACCGCAUGGUUCAAUAGUGAAAGACGGUUUUGCUGUCACUUAUAGAUGGAUCCGCGCCGCAUUAGCUAGUUGGUAAGGUAACGGCUUACCAAGGCAACGAUGCGUAGCCGACCUGAGAGGGUGAUCGGCCACACUGGAACUGAGACACGGUCCAGACUCCUACGGGAGGCAGCAGUAGGGAAUCUUCCGCAAUGGGCGAAAGCUUGACGGAGCAACGCCGCGUGAGUGAUGAAGGUCUUCGGAUCGUAAAACUCUGUUAUUAGGGAAGAACAAAUGUGUAAGUAACUAUGCACGUCUUGACGGUACCUAAUCAGAAAGCAACGGCUAACUACGUG
rnacentral:rRNA from 1 species